rnacentral:rRNA from 1 species
AGUGAACGCUGGCGGUAGGCCUAACACAUGCAAGUCGAACGGCAGCACAGUAAGAGCUUGCUCUUACGGGUGGCGAGUGGCGGACGGGUGAGGAGUACAUCGGAAUCUACUUUUUCGUGGGGGAUAACGUAGGGAAACUUACGCUAAUACCGCAUACGACCUACGGGUGAAAGCAGGGGAUCUUCGGACCUUGCGCGAUUGAAUGAGCCGAUGUCGGAUUAGCUAGUUGGCGGGGUAAGGGCCCACCAAGGCGACGAUCCGUAGCUGGUCUGAGAGGAUGAUCAGCCACACUGGAACUGAGACACGGUCCAGACUCCUACGGGAGGCAGCAGUGGGGAAUAUUCGACAAUGGGCGCAAGCCUGAUCCAGCCAUACCGCGUGGGCGAAGAAGGCCUUCGGGUUGUAAAGCCCUUUUGUUGGGAAAGAAAAGCAGCAGGUUAAUACCCCGCUGUUCUGACGGUACCCAAAGAAUAAGCACCGGCUAACUUCGUG